rnacentral:rRNA from 1 species
CACGUAGGGCGCAAGCGUUGUCCGGAAUUAUUGGGCGUAAAGAGCUCGUAGGCGGUCUGUUGCGUCUGCUGUGAAAACCCGGGGCUUAACCCCUGGCUUGCAGUGGAUACGGACAGACUAGAGGUAGGUAGGGGAGAAUGGAAUUCCCGGUGUAGCGGUGAAAUGCGCAGAUAUCGGGAGGAACACCGGUGGCGAAGGCGGUUCUCUGGGCCUUACCUGCCGCUGAGGAGCGAAAGCGUGGGGAGCGAACAGG